GACGAACGCUGGCGGCGUGCCUAAUACAUGCAAGUCGAACGCAGUGGGGACGGGUGAGUAACACGUGGGUAACCUCCCAUCAGAGGGGAUAACACUUGGAAACAGGUGCUAAACAGAUAUUGAUGGAUGGACCCGCGGUGCAUUUGCUAGUUGGUGAGGUAACGGCUCAGCAGGGCCACGAUGCAUAGGCGACCUGGGAGUUUGUUCGGCCACACUGGGACGGAGACACGGCCCAGCCUCCUACGGGAGGAAGCAGUAGGGAAUCUUCUGCAAUGGACGAAAGUCUGACCGGGCAACGCCGCGUGAGUGAAGAAGGUUUUCGGAUCGUAAGACUCUGUUGUUAGAGAAGCGGGAUCUAGCCAGAAAGCCACGGCUAACUACGUGCCAGCAGCCGCGGUAAUUC
rnacentral:rRNA from 1 species